rnacentral:lncRNA from 1 species
AUGGAGAAAUCAAUUAUUCUGUUGCUCUGGGUACAAUAUGUUGUUAAGAUCUCAAAAAGUUUCUGUUUUGUGAAUAAUCGAACAACAGUUGUUAUUGAAUGGGAUGAAUUUCCUAAGGGAAGAAGUCCUGGAUUUUAUUUUUUAAAAUACCAACUUGUUAAUGAUUUUGCUGAAAAAAAAGAAGGUCAUCUCACGUGGACAGAUGGAUCAUCUUUUGGCCUUAAGAAAAAUGAAAUCUUUUCUUUUCCAUUGCUACCCAAGAAUGAAACAGAUUGCUAUGUUUUACAGCAAAAUGCAUCUGGAUCAAACUAUUUCUUCACAAGAUUUUUCUGUUAUGUUCCAUUGCCGUAUAUUUGCAGAUAUGACUCACCUUCUCUGCAGGAAAACCUUUUGAUCUAUAUAAAGGAUGUUGGAACAACUGAAGUUGUAUUUGGUUGGCAUAAUUUGAAUGCUUGGAAUAAUUUGAAUAAGUGGCUAAAACUGGGAUAUAAAAUUAUCAUUAAAUAUUAUUUAGAUUAUACAGAAGAAAAAUAUUUUGAAAGCAUAUCCCCAAAUACUACGGAAAAAAGAAUUACCCAGUUGUUUCCUGGCCAUACUUACAGAUUUUUACUCUUUGCAAUAAAUGAAUGGGAGGCAAAAACUGUGUUAAGUUCAGUGUUCAUUGUUGAAACACGUAAGUCACAAAAUAUCUGAAAAUCCGAUUUUUCAAAUUAGCAGAUAUUUCCUGAAGAUUUCGAGUUUUCUCAUAAUACUCUGGGCAUACCUCAUUCUUUAACCAUUUUAAAUUACAGUGAAUCUGUUUAUGUCCUUGGCUUUCCUCUUAAUCUGUAAACCCAUAAGGGCAGGAAUUAUAUCUUAUUAGUCUUACAGCACCAACUAGACUAGUGCACAGCCCACAGUGAAUAAUCAGGACAUUUUUGUGGAACUUAAGUUUUGAUACGUGUUAAGAGCAAGAGAUAAACAGGCAUGCAUUGUGGAUUUUGAGAGGCUUACAAUGAAGAGAAUUAGAAAGAAGUAAAAGUAAAAGCAAACCAAAGAGCAAAGUGUAAAAAAACAUAAGACCCUAAAUUCUCAAUAACUCAGUGGUACAUUUAAUAAAUGCUUUCUAGAAUUCA